rnacentral:rRNA from 1 species
GAUGAACGCUAGCGGCAGGCCUAACACAUGCAAGCCGAGGGGUAGAAGGAGCUUGCUCCUUUGAGACCGGCGCACGGGUGCGUAACGCGUAUGCAAUCUACCUUGUACAGGGGAAUAGCCCAGAGAAAUUUGGAUUAAUGCCCCAUAGUAUAUAACCUUCGCAUGUUGGUUAUAUUAAAGUUCCAACGGUACAAGAUGAGCAUGCGUCCCAUUAGUUAGUUGGUAAGGUAACGGCUUACCAAGACGAUGAUGGGUAGGGGUCCUGAGAGGGAGAUCCCCCACACUUGUACUAUGACACCAACCAGACUCCUACGGGAGGCAGCAGUGAGAAAUAUUGGUCAAUGGUCGCAAGACUGACCCUACCAUGCCGCAUGCAGGAAGCCGGUCCUAUGGAUUGUAAACUGCUUUUAUACAGAAAGAAACCCUCCCACGUGAGGGAGCUUGGCGGUACUGUAGGAAUAAGGAUCGGCUAACUCCGUG